CUGGAGGACUGUUUCGAAGCUGCUGAUUACAGUUACAUUGCAGUGUGACAGGCAGCCGCUGCUGAAUAUGACAAAUACAAGCCUGUUUACAAAUAUAAGUGAAGAUGAUCUUGAUGUGAACUGUUUUCAUGACUGAUUUCCUGCUGGACAUCUCAAACGUGAUGCCGCGGAAGAGCUCCAGGCAAAUGAGUCCAUAGGCUGUCAUCAUGACGAUCCCGGGGAUUAGGAAGAGCAGCAGCAGCAGGGACACAUACCUGCAAGGGACACAUCGUAGGAGGUAAGAUCUGUGUCAUGCCAGAAGAUUUCCCCAAGUGGUCGUCUCUCACCAGCAGCACCAGACUGAGAAAAUCAAUACUGUAGAGGGUCCAUCUGAAAUAAGCAAAUGGGCUACUUUAGCUGCCACACAAUCGGAGCGCAUCUGAGUGUGAAGACACCGCGCUGGGACAGUAAAGUCUGCCUUGCUUGCUUGUGCCUACCUGCCUGCUUGCUUGCCUGCCUGCUUCUCUCUGGAUGCAGUGAAGUUUGCCACGUGUUGGAAUUGUUUGUUGUCUCUGGAGGACGCCAUAACCACAUGGUCGACGCCACAAACAAAAGACACUGAUUCACUGGGCACGCUCUGGAGAGUGCCCUGCACCCACCACUCACCACUGGAUCCCCUGGACACCACACCCCCUUGCC